rnacentral:rRNA from 1 species
UACGAAGGGGGCUAGCGUUGUUCGGAAUUACUGGGCGUAAAGCGCGCGUAGGCGGCUAACCAAGUCAGAGGUGAAAUCCCUGGGCUCAACCCAGGAAUUGCCUUUGAAACUGUUUAGCUUGAGUGUCGGAGGGGAUAGCGGAAUUCCUAAUGUAGAGGUGAAAUUCGUAGAUAUUAGGAGGAACACCGGUGGCGAAGGCGGCUAUCUGGACGACAACUGACGCUGAGGCGCGAAAGUACGGGGAUCAAACAGG